UUGGAUAGCUCAUUUGGUAGAGCACUCGGCAAAGGACCGAGGUGUCGUGGGUUCGAUUCCCACUCCAAACCA
rnacentral:tRNA from 1 species